rnacentral:rRNA from 1 species
AUGGUUGUGAAGCUAAUAGAUGGCGGAUGGGAGGUGAUUUACUUUGUUGGCGAGCACAACCAUCUGUUUGUUGACAAGCCAUGUUUGACUAAGUAUUUGCGAUCACACCAAGGGAUCCCACCAAAAGAAAGGGCCUUCCUUACUCAUCUUCAUAACUGUAAUUUGACUACAGGUCCUAUGAUGCACAUCAUGUCAGAUUUCUAUGGGUCAGAGCUCAUUGUACCUUAUACCACUAAGCACAUUACAAACCUCAAGACGGUCUUGAACAAGGAUGAUACAAAAGAAGGGGAUAUGAUAGAGACAGUUGCUUACUUUAAAGAUCAGUAG